rnacentral:rRNA from 1 species
GACGUAGGGAGCGAGCGUUGUCCGGAAUUACUGGGCGUAAAGGGUGCGUAGGCGGCAUGGCAAGUCAGAUGUGAAAUCCCCGGGCUUAACUCGGGUGGUGCAUUUGAAACUGCUGUGCUUGAGUGCAGGAGAGGAAAGCGGAAUUCCUAGUGUAGCGGUGAAAUGCGUAGAUAUUAGGAGGAACACCAGUGGCGAAGGCGGCUUUCUGGACUGUAACUGACGCUGAGGCACGAAAGCGUGGGGAGCAAACAGG